rnacentral:misc_RNA from 1 species
CCAAAUCCAUAUUCCCAUAGAUACGUCUGUCAAACCUGUCUCUCAGCCUUGUCGCAGAGUACCAAUUCCCUUAGAGUCUAAAAUUAAUAAAAAAAUUCAAGAACUCGUUGAUUUGGAUAUCAUAGAACCUGUAAAUGGCCCAUCUGAUUGGAUCUCUCCUCUAGUACCUGUUCUAAAACAGGAUGGAGAUAUCCGUAUCUGUAUAGACAUGAGGCGAGCGAAUCAAGCCAUUAUCAGGGAAAAACACCCCUUACCUACCAUGGAUCAGUUAAUGCCAAGGUUUAGAAACGCCAAAAUAUUUUCUAAAUUAGACCUAAAAAAUUCAUUUCAUCAAUUAGAACUAAGCGAGGAUUGUAGACACAUCACAACUUUCAUUUGUAGCCAAGGCCUGUUUAGAUACAAGCGGCUCAUGUUUGGCAUUUCUUGUGCGCCUGAAUUUUUUCAAAAAAAUCUAGAAAGAGUACUUUUACCUUGUACAGGGGUAGUUAAUUUUAUAGACGACAUUGUUGUUUAUGGUAGCAAUAGGAAUGAACACGGGGAGAGACUCAAAAAAGUUUUACAGGUUUUAAAAUGUAACCAUAUUUUAUUAAAUGACGCAAAAUGUGUUUUUGGGGUUGCACAAAUAGAAUUUCUAGGGCACAAGUUGUCUUGUGAUGGAGUUAAGCCUUUAGAUAAAUAUAUUAAAACAAUAGAAUCGUUUCGUGAGCCAACUGUCAUUGAAGAAGUGCAAAGUUUUUUAGGUCUAGUAAAUUAUGUUGGGAAAUGGAUCCCUAAUUUAGCAACUUGGACCGAACCUUUACGCGAACUAUUAAGAUUGAAGCUAAACAAGGGUACCGAAAUUACUUCCUAUUGGAAUGACGAAAGGUCACGAGCUUUUAAUGGAUUAAAACGGGCUAUAACACAAAUUAAAACUCUGGGAUAUUACGACCCACUAGAUCGUACACAAGUGUACGCGGAUGCUAGUCCUGUUGGGUUAGGUGCUGUGCUCGUUCAGCAUGGUAAAAAUGGACCCAGAAUAAUUGCAUUUGGCAAUAAAAGUCUCUCAGAUCGUGAAAAACGUUACUGUCAAACAGAGAAAGAAGCUCUGGCGCUAGUGUGGGCUGUAGAACAUUUUGACAUUUAUUUGUUUGGGAAGGAUAGUUUCGAACUCAUUAGUGACCAUAAACCGUUGGAGGUAAUAUUCGGGCCAGAUUCUAAACCAUGUGCGAGAAUCGAACGUUGGGUUCUACGACUACAGUCGUACAAUUUUAAAAUAAUAUAUAGUCCGGGUAAGAAAAAUAUUGCAGACUCAUUGUCACGGUUGUGUGUCAAUACUAACCAGCUUCCACAACCUUUUGAUGACGAAAACUAUUUAAACCUAGUCGUUGCCGAAUCUCGUCCUACUGCGAUCACUUUACAUGAGCUGACACAAGCCUGCGAGAGAGACCCGGAAUUAAAAUUAGUUAAAAAUGGAGUUUAUAAUAAUAAUUGGGAACAAAGUGUUAGCACAUACAAGGUAUUUGAACAUGAAUUAUGUUUCCAAGAUAAUUUGCUUUUGCGAGGGAGUAAAAUUGUCAUUCCUUCCACCUUGAGGCCAAAGGUUUUAGCUGCAGCUCAUGAGGGGCACCCUGGCAUCGUAGGAAUGAAAUCACGUCUAAGGUCAAAAGUAUGGUGGCCCAAAAUUGAUAGGGACGCGGAAAAUUGUGUCAGAUCUUGUAAAGGUUGCACUCUAGUUUCGGCUCCAAAUCCUCCGAAUCCUAUGCGAAGACGGGAACUUCCAUUGCAGCCUUGGAUUGAUAUAGCUAUAGAUUAUCUUGGACCCUUGCCUACUGGACAUUACCUUUUAGUAGUCAUAGAUUAUUAUAGUCGAUAUAAAGAAAUAAAAAUUACAAAAAACACUGACUCAACACAUACAAUCAAUAUACUUAAAGAAAUAUUUUCUCGAUUAGGUACACCAGUGAGCAUAACUGCCGAUAACGGCAGACAGUUCAUUAGUAUAGACUUUGAAAAUUUUUGCAAAGAAUUUGGUAUUCAGCUGUUUCAUAGCAUUCCUUAUUGGCCACAACAAAAUGGUGAGGUUGAGAGACAAAACAGAGACAUAUUAAAGCGUUUACGUAUAAGUCAAACUCAAAAGUCUCAUUGGCAAGAUGAUUUGCUUAAAUAUUUGACCAUGUAUAAUAGUACACCUCAUUCUGUAACCGGGAAACCUCCCGGUGAACUUUUUUUCAGGCGUAAAUUCAGGGACAAACUACCAUCAGUGGUAGAUAUUGAAUUUUCUGAAGUAGAUCUGGAAACAAAAGACAGAGAUACAACCAUGAAAACUAAGGGCAAAGAGUAUGCAGACAGGAAAAGACAAGCCACAGAAUCAAAUAUAGAAGUUGGAGAAAAAGUAUACGUAAAAAAUAUGAUCAAGGAAAAUAAAUUGUCUACUACGUUCAAUGAUGCGCCGCACACAGUCGUCAAUAAGGACGGUAAUGACGUCGAAGUAGUAAACGAUGAAAAUGGAAAGCGACUUCGUAGGAACAUUGUACAUCUCAAGAAGGUUGAGGGUAAAUGGGAAGUUUGUCCAAAUAAUUCUCCAGAGAUCGACGGAAAUGGGGGAUUGAUUGAAAAUAAUUGAUUAAAUUUUGUCUGACGUUGUUUGGUUGUAUUGUGAUUCUGAUGAGUAAGCUACAACAAUCAUUUCAUUUUUCUAAUUUUGUAAAAGGUAGAUAUGUAGUGUACUACGUAUAAUAAACGUUGCACGCUAGAUGGCGCGACGGUCGGUGGCGGGGAGCGUGGCUAGCGAGUCGCUAGGCGCGCUCAUGCCCGCGGGAACCGCCGAGCGAUUAAGUGUGUUACAACUGUAAUCCGGUGUUUUAUUUUCCGUGUACAUACAAAGCGAACCGUACACUAACGAAACAGCAAAAGCAACUAAGGUUGCCUAGCUUCUUGUAUUGGUAGGUUUUCUGACUGCAAACGACUGUAGUUCGGUCAGACAAUUAGAGGCAAACAAUGUCAUUGUAGACCAAGUCAAGGGCCCUUAGUAACUGAUGGAAAAGUGCAUGACAUGUUCAAAAUCAAAAACACAUCUUACUUAGGUACCUAAGUAAGUAGAAUCAUGAACCGAUUUAUAAUGAACUUCAUAAUAAAUCACAAAUAACUAAGUUGAGUGAAAGUAAACAACUUAAAAUAGCUAAUGCGGUGACCGUACAUUCUGCAACAAAUAUCCGCUGCAAAAGCAAAUAGUUUUCUAUAAGGACGAUCUGGCAACGUCGCGUCGCCGAACGGAGACGAAGUUCCCCGAAGCCUCGAACGCGAUGGGGCAGACGCGACGUGACGCGCGGCGGGGCGGGGCGGGCCGCCGGCGUUGCCUCACUGCUCAGUAAACUCACAGAAGUCACACAGUGCACCACACACUUCGUGUAGCGGGACAGGCGAACGUCACCAAACAUGGAUGUAGUUCAGUUAAUUAAAUUAGUCAAGAAACAUGAAUUCUUAUACAACCAAAAUCAUCCCAGUUAUAGGAACACAGACCUUAAGAAUUCGACAUGGGAGCUUAUUGGACGAGAAAUGAAUGAAUGUCGUGAAGCCUGUAGACUAAAGUGGAAAACCGUACGAGACGGUUAUAUAAAGUACAAGAAGCUAUCCCAAAUGAAGAAUAGUAAAGUUAGUAACUACGUUUGGAGCACCCAAUUGAGGUUUCUGGAUAACUACAGUUAUCGCAUCAAAGGAAUGUCGAAAUGUUCGUCAGAGCAGUCGGAAGGGUCGCAGACAGCUUCACAGGAUGUAUCACCGAUACAGUCGCCAUCACCACCACCCCUAGUGCCGCUAAGAUCAGCACCAUCAACAGAAACCAACUCACCGAUGCAAACAGACGAAGAAUUACAAAGCGUCAUUGAGAGAAAUUCAAGUCAGUGGGAGCAAUUCAAGCAAAUAGAUUCUACCGAUCUCCUUUUUCUCAGUUACUCGGGGACAUUCAAAAAGUUCUCAGCGAGGCAACAAGCCCUGAUGAAGAUAGAACUGGCCAAAUUGUUCGCAAACGCUGAACUAGAACAGCUGCAGACUGGACAACAUAGUUCACAGAUAAAUGAUGAUGAUUAUUCAACGCUCGUUGUUAAAGCUGAAUAUGAUGACGAAUAGUGACGUUCUAGGUUACAUUAUAGAGUACUUAAUAGUUAUUCCAAUUUAUUUUCUAAGCAUUCACUAUAAGUUAGUAACUAACUCUUAAUGUGAUAUAUUCCUAAUAAAAAAAUAUAACAGAGGUUUUGGAUAUUUCAAUACCUUUUCAUUUAACACUGAACCUAUAACAUAAACUAGUAUCUACGAAUGUUAACUUGAAGUCUAUUACAUCCUCCGAUUUUAUAGCACAUGAACAACAAAGAUUUUAACGACUUUAUCUAAGAAUUCAUUAUUAGGCAAAUUCAGGUAAGAAAGUAAUUAUUAGGCAAAUUCUAUGACAGCGACCUGAAUUCAGCCAUCAAAAACUUAGACGCGUGUAAAACCUCAAAAAUGUUAAUUAAAGUAGGAAGUUUCUGAAUACCACACGAAUUUAGUGUAAACUAAUUUCUCGAACAAAGUAAUACAACGUUUAUUUAUCAGUUACACAACAGCGAUUUCUAUUGAGCUGAUCGGCCAUGACUCCGGUCAACUGCCAAGGUUUCGCUCAUUGAAACUUUUGCUAAGAUUCCAGUUUAAUACAUGUGAUUUGUUCAAAUGUUAUGCUCGAUACUGUUCCGAGAAAAAUCUUUUGGAACGCUUUGGAAGUUGGUAAUGGAGCUACUUUCAAGGUUUCUGGUAGUUCAUUUCUUAAAGCUUAGAAGCAGUAGUUACACGAGUUAAUUGUUCUAUCGGCAAUGCUUGACGAUUGCUCAUAUCUUGCGCUAAUAUAAAACUGCCAAAGGAUAUAACUGUGGAGGUCAUAGAUGCAGGACAGAGAGCGUCACACCUCGCUAAGAUGUUGUAAUGACAAGUAUGCAAAGGUUACGUUUAAAAACUGUAAUUAUCCUAAAACAGGCCAAGUGCGAGUCGGACUCGUGCGUGAAAGUUCAGCUCCGCACUAAGUCAUUAUUAUAGGUACAAUUAUAAAGGUUUGUCCUAAGAAGGUUAUUAAUAACCAAUUAACUGAAUACCUAAUUACAAAAAUAUAUAGAUAAUCUGUCUGUUGGAUUCGUGACGAUUUGUUUGUGGGCUGUAAUCAUUGAACCUGUUUUUUUUUCGCAUUCGUGAGUCGUGGGUAUGGCAUGAAGCCCGAUUGUCGUGCCAACGCCAGGCGCUUCGCUCAUAUCGAAUGACAACAACAACACUAUUUGAAUGACGGAUUCCGACUGCUUAUAUUUAUAUUAUAUGUGGUCAGACAGUAUUCUUUGAAGAUUUUUUUGACCGCGCACGCAAAUAAUAUAAAUGUCUGUGUUACUUCCUUUUGAACGAAGCGUAUAUUUGACUCCUGACUGCGCAAAUGCUCGUGCACUAUAAUAUGUCCUGCGUAGUUGGCUAAUCUCCUUACAUGAGAACAGCCGCCGCCGUAGCGCCCGUAGCCGAUAAUCGGCUAGGAGGACAUCACAUCAUAUUUGACACCACUAGGUACAACCUCGAAAUCUUCAUUUAAUUAAAUUUCAGUUUUUUAGAAAUUCAUUAGGUAGGUAGGUAGGUAUUAAUACAUGUGUUAAGUCACCAAGGCAAGAAAGUAGACUUGUGCCUCCGGAGUAAUAGUACAAAAUGCCUAAGUCUUGGUACAGUUGCUAUAUUCCAAUACUUAAACAGUUAAUACCUUUUACCAAGGCUGCGCGUUGUAAACAACAACAAUCUAGUGAGUGGUUCGUCCUCGGCCGUAAUACCGAACUAUUGAUUUUUCAUUUAGCGAAAUGCGGUCAACGGAAACCUAGAAACAUAUCCGUCACAUCGAUUAAGUUUAUUCAACUAUUUCUGUAAUAGUUCGUUGACCUGGUUUUAUUUUUCUGAUCCGUGGUGAUGCAGUAUUGUGUCUUAUGUAUGACUGAUGUUCUAGAAGUGAUGAGGGGAAUUCAUAACGAGUCAGUCCCGAUUCGUCACUGUUUGAGGAGUUAUUUCACCAGUUGGUCAAUAUCGUGAGAGUUUCAAGUUACUUUCAAAUGAACCAGCAGUUAGUAUGGUAGACUGCACAUCAGUGGUAACUGUCAUGCACCUUACCUCAAUAAAUAAUAAGUACGAUUUUCCUAUAACACUGUUACCACUGACCUGAAGUUGACUGUACCUAUCGCUUGUUCGUCUAAAUCUGCAAUCUGCAGUCAUUAUAUCAAGCAUUAACGGCAGGCGACGUCAUUUUCGACCUUUUUAAAUGUUACUGAUAUGCUCCUUAUUCGACUAGCUAUUUAAUAUCAUAAAUGCAAUUGAAAAUGCUUCGUUCUAUAGCUGCUUAGACAGCCGGAUACCUACUUUUGUUUAUACGAGACUAUAAAUAAAUAACUGAGCAAUUCUGCAUAUAAAUAAACCAGUCUAGUGCAACCCAGCGUGUCGGGUCACCAGUAUUUAUGGAGCUAGAGCCACCAACUGAAUAGUUAUCGAUUUUAAAUUAAAAUAAGCUGGCCAAUUCGUCGCACCAUUCGCUCGUAAAAUAGAGUAUUCGAACAUGAAUCAACUAACUACUAAAACAAAGUAGGUAUUUGUAGGUUCCUAAACGCCACCCGUUGCCUCUUCUCUGUGGGAAAAAGAAAAAUUUCCUACACGAAAAGUAAUAGACGGACAAUUUUUUUUUGGUUGUCAUGCCUAUUUAUUUAGAUUCAAAGACCACUUUCUCAGUAAAAUAAAUGCCAUAUGUGUUUUUUUUUUAAUUUUCAAAUUAAAACUUCCAAAAAAUAAGCAAUAGUAUCACGUAAAGUUACCGUACCGUACCGUCGCUUGCCCGUCGGCCGUCGAUCGUCGCGUUAUAUGAAAAUGUUUAUGAACGAGUCAGUCGUUGGCGCACGCUCGCGCUGUGAACUCGUCCGUACCGCACGCUCCCGCCAUGUCAGAGAAAAUCGAGUAUGAACCAGCGUUUCUGAUCAAAAUCCUAAGGAAAUAUAGAAAGUGCCCUAUCCUAUGGGACACAACGCACCCAGAGUACCAUAAGAGAGACAGAAAAAUUUCAGCAUGGGACAAAAUAGUACAAUUAUGGCAAAAAACCUAUCCAAACGCAAGUCAAUCCGAUAUCAAAACUAAAAUAUUUCAUAUGCGAACGAAUUACAUGCGGCAGAGGAAAAAAGUUGAAAAUAACGCUGGAACAAUAACGUUAUGGUAUUACCCACAUUUGUGUUUCCUAUCCGGUGACGAAAUUGAAUAUGAAGAGUCGGAGUCUGAUGAAGACGAGCCCUUAGUACCUUCAACAAGUCGAAAGAGGAAGGCUUCAACGGAGCAAGAGUCCACAGGAGACUAUCUUCCAGUCACAAAGGACGCAUCAGCAGCAGCAUUCGGACACUCAAUAGAGGCCCAACUGCAGCACUUGUCUAAAAUGCAGCGGUGCAUUGCUGAGAAACUGAUAUCUGACGUCAUAUACCAUGGAAAGUUACAACAAUUGACAACAGGAGCACAUAUUAAAGUCGAAGAUGAGCAUACUGUUAAUACUGAAGAUAUAGUUAUACCUCCAACAGAGCCGUCCUGGUAUGAAAUGGAAGGAACUGCGGAACCCACGCCGAGUUGUGUCACAAUGGCCGAUUAUCCGCAGAACAAUGUAGACGAAACGGAAAAUGCAGUGAAUGGUAUCAAAAUUGAAACGGAUGAAAACAGUUUUUAUGUCAGCGAGUAUGUUCAGGAAGUAGAUUAAAGCAAAAUACCUCAUUUAUGUGAUGUUACUUAUUAUAGCAAAAUAUUAUUAAAUAAUUAAUUAUUGAUAA